GGCUAAGUUGCUCUCGAAAAUCAAAAAAGUAAGCAUGUAGAAAGCGCAACUGGUCCCAUGUUUGGACGAGGGUUCGAAUCCCUCCGGGUCCA
rnacentral:tRNA from 1 species